AUCCUGGCUCAGGAUGAACGCUAGCGGGAGGCCUAAUACAUGCAAGUCGAACGGUAACAGGGGUAGCAAUACCGCUGACGAGUGGCGCACGGGUGCGUAACGCGUACACAACCUGCCUUAUACUGGGGCAUAACCUUGGGAAACUGAGGCUAAUUCCCCAUAAUAUGUCGAAAAGGCAUCUUUUUGACAUUAAAACUCCGGUGGUAUAAGAUGGGUGUGCGUCCGAUUAGGUAGUUGGUGGGGUAACGGCUCACCAAGCCAACGAUCGGUAGCUGGUCUGAGAGGAUGAUCAGCCACACGGGCACUGAGACACGGGCCCGACUCCUACGGGAGGCAGCAGUAGGGAAUAUUGGACAAUGGGCGAAAGCCUGAUCCAGCCAUCCCGCGUGAAGGAUUAAGGCCCUCUGGGUUGUAAACUUCUUUUCUCUGGGAAUAAAAAGUGGGGUUCCC
rnacentral:rRNA from 1 species